UGGGGAAUAUUGCACAAUGGGCGCAAGCCUGAUGCAGCAACGCCGCGUGAGGGACGACGGCCUUCGGGUUGUAAACCUCUUUUGGCAGGGAAGAAGCGAAAGUGACGGUACCUGCAGAAAAAGCACCGGCUAACUACGUGCCAGCAGCCGCGGUGAUACGUAGGGUGCAAGCGUUGUCCGGAAUUAUUGGGCGUAAAGAGCUCGUAGGCGGUUUGUCGCGUCUGCUGUGAAAACCCGGGGCUCAACCUCGGGCCUGCAGUGGGUACUGGCAAGCUAGAGUGCGGUAGGGGAGAUUGGAAUUCCUGGUGUAGCGGUGGAAUGCGCAGAUAUCAGGAGGAACACCGAUGGCGAAGGCAGAUCUCUGGGCCGUAACUGACGCUGAGGAGCGAAAGCAUGGGGAGCGAACA
rnacentral:rRNA from 1 species